CGCAGAGGACCCAUCUCGAAACGUGGGAAACCAGCGCUGCUAUUUUUAGGAAAAGGAUGGAGAAUGGAGGAUGGACCAGCCCAGGAGAAGGCACAGCCAUCAGCCACUUCAUCCAGUAGCUGAGCCACUCACGGCCCCGUCUGCGAUGAAGACAGAAGGCCCCAUCAGAGAAGCUACGCACCUCACCGAGGUGCCCCCUGCCCCCGCGAUCCACACUGCCAAACAAAUACAGACAUCUACUGUCGUUUUUAAAUAAGGCUCAGCUUCUGUCCCUGGGCCCUGCCCUGGUCCUCUGCAGAAUCAUCUACUUGCAUCCGAAGCAGUUCCUACGAAGGGGUAACGUACAUGUUAUUUGCAUGUGCUUCCUCUCUGGUCUCUUCUGCCUGGUCCCAUUAUGGCUCCAGGACACACACUGGACAUGGGCAGGGGGAGGGGGACUUGGGUGAGGAUGGGAGUCUGUGAAGGGAGGGAGGGCUGUCCAUGACACGAUGGUGAUGAGCUCCUGUCUGUCGGGUGAGCCUGGGCUCCAAUGCAAGUGAGGUAAAAGCCAGAUCACUUUCCCAUGGUAGACAAGCCCUGCCAGCCCUUGAACCCUUGCUUUCACCGCAGGAGGCUUGGACGCCUUCUUGAGGACACUAUCAAAAAUUCUUCUCACCCAGACUGAGCUCCUCUAGACCUAAAAGACAUGUAUUUCUCCUCUUUCUGUUGGACAGGCCGAAAUUAAUCCUAAGGGAGAAGGACAUUGUCCAGAGGGUAUUUGCAAGUCACCUCUCAGCAGGACAUUGCUUUCGGCUAGUCUGAAUCUGUGCCUAAGGUGACAGUGAGAGAAGCCAUCUGAGCUCACUUUCCCCUCUUAGGAUGGAAGAACUGAGUGGCUGAGCCUCAGCAGGUGCCUCGGGUGCCAGGGAACAAACCAGUCAAGAGCACAGGCUCCAGAGUCCAGCUGCCUAGGUCCAAAUCCUGGCUAGGAUAUUACAUGUUGUAUGGCACAGCUAUUGCUGUGUAACAAAUUCCCCCUGAACACAGCAGCUUAAACACUUCUUCUCUGAUUGGUUUUGUGAGUCUGGGACCUGCCUGGCCAGAUCCUCUGAAUCAGCAUCUCUCACAAGGUGACAAUCAAGGUGUGCCCAACAAGGUGGUGUGGUCACCUCAGGGCCCCACUGGAGAAUAAUUUGCCUCCAAACUCACUCCCAGGAGUGUUGGCAGGUUGCAGUUCCUCAGGGGCUGUUGACCAGAGGCCGCCCUCAAUUCCCUAA
rnacentral:lncRNA from 1 species